CCUACGGGUGACUGCAGUGAGGAAUAUUGGUCAAUGGACGCAAGUCUGAACCAGCCAUGCCGCGUGAAGGAAGACGGCUCUAUGAGUUGUAAACUGCUUUUGUACGGGGGUAAAUCCCGAUACGUGUAUCGGGUUGAAAGUAUCGUACGAAUAAGGAUCGGCUAACUCCGUGCCAGCAGCCGCGGUAAAGCGGAGGAUUCAAGCGUUAUCCGGAUUUAUUGUGUUUAAAGGGUGCGUAGGCGGUUUGAAAAGUUAGAGGGGAAAUCCCGGGGCUCAACAUCGGGAAUGCCUGUGAUCCUGUCGGGCUAGAGUGUAGUUGCGGUAGGCGGAAUGUAUGGUGUAGCGGGGAAAUGCAGAGAGAUCAGGAAGAACACCGGGUGCGAAGGCAACGUACCAAACUGCGACUGACGUUGAGGCACGAAAGCGUGGGGAGCAAACAGGAUUAGAUACCCGGGUAGUC
rnacentral:rRNA from 1 species